AUAUAUGCUCGUACAGCAAACGAGCAGGAUAAUAUAAAGAAACGCUGAAUGAUU
rnacentral:sRNA from 25 species